rnacentral:rRNA from 1 species
AGGGGGUAUCUAAUUUCCCAAACUGGGAUUAGAUACCCCACUAUGCUUAGCCCUAAACACAGAUAAUUACAUAAACAAAAUUAUUCGCCAGAGUACUACUAGCAACAGCUUAAAACUCAAAGGACUUGGCGGUGCUUUAUAUCCUUCUAGAGGAGCCUGUUCUAUAAUCGAUAAACCCCGAUAAACCUCACC